CCCGGCACAAGCGGUGGAGUAUGUGGUUUAAUUCGACGCAACGCGCAGAACCUUACCUAGGCUUGACAUCCCGGGAAUUUGCUGGAAACAGUGAAGUGCUUUCAUUAGAAAGAGCCCGGUGACAGGUGCUGCAUGGCUGUCGUCAGCUCGUGUCGUGAGAUGUUGGGUUAAGUCCCGCAACGAGCGCAACCCUCGCCUUUAGUUGCCAGCAUUCAGUUGGGCACUCUAAAGGGACUGCCGGUGUCAAACCGGAGGAAGGUGGGGAUGACGUCAAGUCCUCAUGGCCUUUAUGUCUAGGGCUACACACGUACUACAAUGGCAGGUACAAAGGGCAGCGACACAGCGAUGUGAUGCGAAUCCCGAAAAGCCUGUCUCAGUCCGGAUCGGAGUCUGCAACUCGACUCCGUGAAGUUGGAAUCGCUAGUAAUCGCAGAUCAGCACGCUGCGGUCGAAUACGUUCCCGGGCCUU
rnacentral:rRNA from 1 species